AUGGAACAUGUCAGGUUCCUCCAGGACGUGGGGGCUGGUCCUCUCUGGUUAGACAGCUGUCAGCCCAACAGAGCUCAGAGAGUCGGUGACUAUUGGAGACGUCAAAGCAGGAGUGCACAGCGAGGAGCAGUCCAGUUCGAGUCCCAAGGGUGUUAACCCGCCUGUUGAAAUGGUUUGGGAAGGAGCAAGGAGGGCAGCAGUUCAAACUGUGUGAGCUCAGCCGAUGUGUGUUCUCAAGGCUGUGUGAAGUGGAUUAGGACCCAGCUGCUCCACUGUAUAACGUCACUGUCCAAAGCUGACCUGAACACAUGGUGGCCAGGGAAGGAGAGUUUGGGGUCCCCUGCUGGAGCUGUUGCCCAAUGCCCCUGUGACCCAAUCCCAGAUAAGUGUUUGAAG